ACAUGCAAGUCGAGCGGACCGACGGGAGCUUGCUCCCUUAGGUCAGCGGCGGACAGGUGAGUAACACGUGGGUAACCUGCCUGUAAGACUGGGAUAACUCCGGGAAACCGGGGCUAAUACCGGAUGCUUGAUUGAACCGCAUGGUUCAAUCAUAAAAGGUGGCUUUUAGCUACCACUUGCAGAUGGACCCGCGGCGCAUUAGCUAGUUGGUGAGGUAACGGCUCACCAAGGCGACGAUGCGUAGCCGACCUGAGAGGGUGAUCGGCCACACUGGGACUGAGACACGGCCCAGACUCCUACGGGAGGCAGCAGUAGGGAAUCUUCCGCAAUGGACGAAAGUCUGACGGAGCAACGCCGCGUGAGUGAUGAAGGUUUUCGGAUCGUAAAACUCUGUUGUUAGGGAAGAACAAGUACCGUUCGAAUAGGGCGGUACCUUGACGGUACCUAACCAGAAAGCCACGGCUAACUACGUGCCAGCAGCCGCGGUAAUACGUAGGUGGCAAGCGUUGUCCGGAAUUAUUGGGCGUAAAGCGCGCGCAGGCGGUUUCUUAAGUCUGAUGUGAAAGCCCCCGGCUCAACCGGGGAGGGUCAUUGGAAACUGGGGAACUUGAGUGCAGAAGAGGAGAGUGGAAUUCCACGUGUAGCGGUGAAAUGCGUAGAGAUGUGGAGGAACACCAGUGGCGAAGGCGACUCUCUGGUCUGUAACUGACGCUGAGGCGCGAAAGCGU
rnacentral:rRNA from 1 species